rnacentral:rRNA from 1 species
UACGAAGGGGGCUAGCGUUGUUCGGAAUUACUGGGCGUAAAGCGUGCGCAGGCGGCUUCUCAAGUCAGGGGUGAAAGCCCAGAGCUCAACUCUGGAAUUGCCUUUGAGACUGAGAGGCUUGAGUACGGGAGAGGUGAGUGGAAUUCCCAGUGUAGAGGUGAAAUUCGUAGAUAUUGGGAAGAACACCAGUGGCGAAGGCGGCUCACUGGACCGUAACUGACGCUCAUGCGCGACAGCGUGGGGAUCAAACAGG